GACGAACGCUGGCGGCGUGCUUAACACAUGCAAGUCGAACGGAAAGGCCCUGCUUUUGUGGGGUGCUCGAGUGGCGAACGGGUGAGUAACACGUGAGUAACCUGCCCUUGACUUUGGGAUAACUUCAGGAAACUGGGGCUAAUACCGGAUAGGAGCUCCUGCUGCAUGGUGGGGGUUGGAAAGAUUCGGCGGUUGGGGAUGGACUCGCGGCUUAUCAGCUUGUUGGUGGGGUAGUGGCUUACCAAGGCUUUGACGGGUAGCCGGCCUGAGAGGGUGACCGGCCACAUUGGGACUGCGGUACGGCCCAGACUCGUACGGGAGGCAGCAGUGGGGAAUAUUGCAGAGUGGGCGGAAGCCUGAUGCAGCAACGCCGCGUGCGGGAUGACGGCCUUCGGGUUGUAAACCGCUUUCGCCUGUGACGAAGCGUGAGUGACGGUAACGGGUAAAGAAGCACCGGCUAACUACGUG
rnacentral:rRNA from 1 species